rnacentral:rRNA from 1 species
AUUGAACGCUGGCGGCAUGCCUAACACAUGCAAGUCGAACGCGAAAGUCCUUCGGGGCGAGUAGAGUGGCGGACGGGUGAGUAAUACGUGGGAAUCUACCUGGUAGUGGGGGACAACCCGGGGAAACCCGGGCUAAUACCGCAUAUGUCCUACGGGACAAAGGGGGCCUCUGCUUGCAAGCUCUCGCUACCAGAUGAGCCCACGUCCGAUUAGCUAGUUGGUAGGGUAAAGGCCUACCAAGGCGACGAUCGGUAGCUGGUCUGAGAGGAUGGCCAGCCACACUGGGACUGAGACACGGCCCAGACUCCUACGGGAGGCAGCAGUGGGGAAUAUUGGACAAUGGGCGCAAGCCUGAUCCAGCAAUGCCGCGUGUGUGAAGAAGGC